CCUACGGGAGGCUGCAGUGAGGAAUAUUGGUCAAUGGGCGGGAGCCUGAACCAGCCAAGUCGCGUGAGGGACGACGGUCCUAUGGAUUGUAAACCUCUUUUGUCGGGGAAUAAAGGCACCCACGGGUGGGCGGAUGAGUGUACUCGAAGAAAAAGCAUCGGCUAACUCCGUGCCAGCAGCCGCGGUAAUACGGAGGAUGCGAGCGUUAUCCGGAUUUAUUGGGUUUAAAGGGUGCGUAGGCGGACGGUAAAGUCAGCGGUAAAAAUGAGGUGCUCAACGCCGUACAGCCAUUGAAACUGGCAGUCUUGAGUGGGCGAGAGGUAUGCGGAAUGCGUGGUGUAGCGGUGAAAUGCAUAGAUAUCACGCAGAACUCCGAUUGCGAAGGCAGCAUACCGGCGCGAUACUGACGCUGAGGCGCGAAAGCGUGGGUAUCGAACAGGAUUAGAUACCCGAGUAGUC
rnacentral:rRNA from 1 species